CUAUCCUACCCGGCGUCAGAUGAUUUCUUGUGCUUUUUCAGUAUCUACUAUGAUUUAAAAGUUCUUAUGAUCAAUUUCACACUGUGGUGAUGUAUUGUCAAUUUUGUCAGCUAUAAUUUGUAAUUAUAUCUCUACUUCAGGUAUUUGGGGAAUUCUACUAUAUAGAUGAAAUAUUCCGAUUCAUAUAUCUCUUUUUCUUUCAGAUGUUAGAUGGAGGAGAACUUAAUGUGAGAGUAAACUUCAGGGCUGGCUCUUGCCUUUCUGGAGCUGCUCGUUGAAAAUCAUCUUUGUGAUUCUCAAAGAACCAAGGGACACAAUAGAUCCUUUUUUUACUCUCUCUUUAGUCCUUUAUCACCCUGGAAGUGUUCCCCUUCAGGAAGGGGAUUCUGGUACAGGGAAUUCCUUAACCAUCUUACAAGGCCAAAAGAUGUGGAUAAAGCCAUCUGGGGCUAAGAACGCCGAAGAAAUACCAAGAAAUAAGUUGAAUCUGAGUCAUGUUAUUCCCCUUUCUAUAUUUUUAGCCAUACAAAUUACAUAUUGUGAUAGGGACUCCUUUUUUACUUUCAUUAAUUUGGAAUAUAGUUUCUUUUGUUGGUUCUUUGUUCCCAUUAUAUCCAGUUGAGUAUGGUUAAAUUCUUCAACGCGUAAAGUGAUUUUAAUGGUUGGU
rnacentral:lncRNA from 1 species